UGGUCUAGCGGUUAGAACGCUGGCCUUGUAAUCCUGGGGUCCUGGGUUCGAUUCCCGG
rnacentral:tRNA from 1 species